rnacentral:rRNA from 1 species
GACGAACGCUGGCGGCGUGCUUAACACAUGCAAGUCGAACGGAAAGGCCCUGCUUUUGUGGGGUGCUCGAGUGGCGAACGGGUGAGUAACACGUGAGUAACCUGCCCUUGACUUUGGGAUAACUUCAGGAAACUGGGGCUAAUACCGGAUAGGAGCUCCUGCUGCAUGGGGGGGGUUGGAAAGUUUCGGCGGUUGGGGAUGGACUCGCGGCUUAUCAGCUUGUUGGUGGGGUAGUGGCUUACCAAGGCUUUGACGGGUAGCCGGCCUGAGAGGGUGACCGGCCGCAUUGGGACUGAGAUACGGCCCAGACUCCUACGGGAGGCAGCAGUGGGGAAUAUUGCACAAUGGGCGGAAGCCUGAUGCAGCAACGCCGCAUGCGGGAUGACGGCCUUCGGGUUGUAAACCGCUUUCGCCUGUGACGAAGCGUGAGUGACGGUAAUGGGUAAAGAAGCACCGGCUAACUACGUG